AUAGCAUAUCAUAGCGGAGGAAAAGAAACCAACAGGGAUUGCCCCAGUAGCGGCGAGUGAAGCGGCCAGAGCUCAGAUUUGAAAUCGCAGCAGUGCGAGUUGUAGAUUGCAGGUUGGUGCCUUUGUGGCGCUGCGUGUCGAAGUCCCUUGGAACAGGGCGCCAUUGAGGGUGAGAGCCCCGUGCGACGCGUGGCUAAGCAGCAAGGCCCUUCUGACGAGUCGAGUUGUUUGGGAAUGCAGCUCUAAGCGGGUGGUAAAUUCCAUCUAAGGCUAAAUACUGGCGAGAGACCGAUAGCGAACAAGUACUGUGAAGGAAAGAUGAAAAGCACUUUGAAAAGAGAGUGAAACAGCACGUGAAAUUGUUGAAAGGGAAGGGUAUUGGGCUCGACAUGGGACUUGCGCACCGCUGCUCCUUGUGGGCGGCGCUCUGCGCUUUUCCUGGGCCAGCAUCGGUUCUUGCUGCAGGAGAAGGGGUUGGGGAAUGUGGCUCUCCCUCGGGAGAGUGUUAUAGCCCUGGCCAGAUGCUGCGUGCGGGGACCGAGGACUGCGGCUUCUGUCUCGGAUGCUGGCACAACGGCGCAAUACCGCCCGUCUUGAAACAUGGACCAAGGAGUCUAACGUCUAUGCGAGUGUUUGGGUGUAAAACCCGUACGCGUAAUGAAAGUGAACGUAGGUCGGACCCCUUUACGGGGGGCACGAUCGACCGAUCCUGAUGUUUAUCGGAUGGAUUUGAGUAAGAGCAUAGCUGUUGGGACCCGAAAGAUGGUGAACUAUGCCUGAAUAGGGUGAAGCCAGAGGAAACUCUGGUGGAGGCUCGUAGCGGUUCUGACGUGCAAAUCGAUCGUCGAAAUUUGGGUAUAGGGGCGAAAGACUAAUCGAACCAUCUAGUAGCUGGUUCCUGCCCGAA
rnacentral:rRNA from 1 species